GUGCAGCUGUUUGGUGUUCUAUAAUUAAUGGUUGGGUCGAACACGGGUGUACCGAUGUCUCCUGGACAUGGUGACUACCAAGCAACAGCAGCGAAAGAAUACUACACCACGUCACCACCUUACUACACAACAACGUCUAGAUACGCAACAUCAACUAACUACGCCGAGGCCCCCAAGUGCUACACCACCAAGACUGAAGAGUUACGCUACAAAUUACGCUGCCCCGAGUUACAUCACCAAGGCGCCUGAGUACUACAUUACUGAUGUUCCCGGGUACUACACCACCAAGUAAUCUGCCCCAGCCUACUACACCGAGGCUCCAACUUAUUUCAAUACCACAGCGGUCGAGUACUUCACCUAACAGCACAAGUACCAAUCUGCCCCGAACUACACAACCACAACUGAGGCGGCGAAUCAACUAUAGUGUCGUGCUACUGUUGGUUGUAUUAUCCUUAAUGUUUGGGUUGUUCACUAGUGUGCCGAUGUCUCGUGGGUACGGUGGAUACUAAACCGCAAUGCGGCGUCCAACUACACAACAUAUGCAACAACCGGAUGCUUCACCACCAAGGCCCUAGUUGCCCCGAGUUACACCACGAAGGGAGCGGAGUACUACACCACGAAGGGAGCGGAGUACUACACCACGAAGGGAGCGGAGUACUACACCACGAAGGGAGCGGAGUACUACACCACCACGUAUGCUGCCCCAGCCUUUUACACCGAUCGCAUAUUACGCUACAACCCGCGCUGCUCUCAGCUACUAUACCGAGGCUCCCAAGUACUACACCACCAAGGCAGCAGAGUAUUACACCACAAACUUCUUGCUUCCGCAACUUGCUACAUGGAGGUUCCUAAAUGCUAGAGCCGAAAUUUCCAUUUGAUUUGAUUUAUAUUUGUCGGUUGUCUUCAUGGUCAUUGGUCACUGGGAAUUAAUGGUUGAACUUAAAUGAGAAAAUAAAAAUUCUAAUGCGGGUAA